rnacentral:lncRNA from 1 species
AUCCUGCUGAGGAGCUCUGCAGGGACGUCAAUGCCAGUCCAGCCCGAGGAGACACUCCAGAGACCCCCACACUUUGCACACGGAGGCAUGAAUGAAAAAUAUGGCCUUUAUUGCACAACUGGAAAACUAACUAACAUGGAGCAAAGGAAGACUGUCUUUUCUUAACUAAGCUUGUCAAGAAAACUGUCAAGCCUCAGCUUCGGAGGAUGAGUGGGUUUGAGGAGCUAACCGUGGAUCACUGUGGACCCAGUCAGAUGGUGGUUCAGUGCAGUGGCUACUCCAGGGACAGAGCUGGAGAGAAACAACCCAGACUCGAUAAGACCUGUGUGUGGCAGAGGGUGGAUGUUGAUCUCACAGAAACUCUGUGGACAUCUUAAGGGGCCCGGCACUCCAAAACUUGUCAGAAGGUAAGU